rnacentral:rRNA from 1 species
CGCGUCCGGGGAGGAAAGCCUUUGGGUUGUAAACCCCUUUUCUCAGGGAAGAAGAAAGUGACGGUACCUGAGGAAUCAGCCUCGGCUAACUCCGUGCCAGCAGCCGCGGUAAUACGGAGGAGGCAAGCGUUAUCCGGAAUGAUUGGGCGUAAAGCGUUCGUAGGUGGCAAUUCAAGUCUGCUGUCAAAGACAGUAGCUCAACUACUGCAAGGCAGUGGAAACUGAAUAGCUAGAGUGCGGUAGGGGCAGAGGGAAUUCCCGGUGUAGCGGUGAAAUGCGUAGAGAUCGGGAAGAACACCGGUGGCGAAAGCGCUCUGCUGGGCCGCAACUGACACUGAGGGACGAAAGCUAGGGGAGCGAAUGGGAUUAGAUACCCCAGUAGUC